UUCAUGCCAUGCUAGGAGGUGCAGCCACCACUACCCCAACCCUGUGCUUUGACUCUGUCAAAGGAGUAGCAUGCAACAGGGAUGCAGGUUUUGGAGAUGAGGAAGAUGAGGAGGAAGAGGUUGAAGACAGCUCACAGCAAGCAAGCAGAGACACCGUUUUCCCUGACAGCCAGGAACUGUUUCUCACCCUGGACCUGGAGUCAGUAGCCCCCUGAACCCACUCAAGGCUGCCUCCUGGACCCGCCAGGGGGAGAAAGGACCUCUGCUGCAAAUCUUUCAACACUCACACUAUCUUCACCUUCUCAGAGGCUAGUGAAGAUAAGAAGGC